rnacentral:rRNA from 1 species
GGAAUAUUGGUCAAUGGAUGCAAGUCUGAACCAGCCAUGCCGCGUGCAGGAAGAAGGCGUUAUGCGUUGUAAACUGCUUUUGCCAGGGGAUAAAAUGACUGUGCGCAGUUAAUUGAAGGUACCUGGUGAAUAAGCCACGGCUAACUACGUGCCAGCAGCCGCGGUAAUACGUAGGUGGCAAGCGUUGUCCGGAUUUAUUGGGUUUAAAGGGUGCGUAGGCGGCCCUGUAAGUCAGUGGUGAAAUAUCUCAGCUUAACUGAGAGGGUGCCAUUGAUACUGCAGGGCUUGAGUACAGAUGAGGUAGGCGGAAUUGACGGUGUAGCGGUGAAAUGCAUAGAUAUCGUCAAGAACACCGAUAGCGAAGGCAGCUUACCAAGCUGUAACUGACGCUGAGGCACGAAAGUGUGGGGAUCAAACAGGAUUAGAUACCCUGGUAGUCCACACUGUAAACGUUGAUGACUCGAUGUNGGCAAUACACAGCCAGCGUCCAAGAGCAAUCG